CAAGCCUUUUAGGGGCUCUUUUGGGAUGCUGGCUUUCCCAGCAGCCUUUGCAGCUUCCUGUAGAGACUCAUGGGAACUGUAGUUCAACUCUUGUGAUAACGGGACCGUUUAAAAUAGAAAAACUGAAGGUUUUCCUCCUUUCUUGUACUUUUCUUCUAGUCUGUUAAAUCUACCUCAGCUGUCAGCUGUAAAUAUUUAUUCCUACGAAUCAAACUUUGACUCUAGACGCUUCUGUUAGACAUAAAAACACCAGUCAGCAGAUUUGCUGGAAAACAGAAGUGAAACUUUGCUGAACUCCCUCAGAUCAGACUCCAUGUUCAGACAGCAGGACGGAAAUCUUGUCUCCGCUGGUUAACAGAGAAACCAGAUCAAAGAAGAAAGUUCUGGAUCGCGGCGAUAAAGCGGAGAACAUUGAAUGGCCAACCGUGGGAGCCGGCAGAUCAUGACCAAGUUUGUCAUCUGCAUUUUGUGACUGAGCCGUCAACAUCAAUUCAUGAUUCUUGUGUGCAGAAAAUUUGUGACCUCCGGAAGGAAACUCAGCAGCUCUAGGACGACUUCAAGAGGAAAAGUUGCGUUUGUCAACCUUAUUGAACAAGCAACAUUUAGAACAACAAGUGACAAAAAGUGAUAGAAAGCUGCAAUUUCACACUGGCAUUCCAUCUGUGGCAAUAUUCUUGUGGCUGCU